rnacentral:rRNA from 1 species
GACGAACGCUGGCGGCGUGCUUAACACAUGCAAGUCGAACGGAAAGGCCCUGCUUUUGUGGGGUGCUCGAGUGGCGAACGGGUGAGUAACACGUGAGUAACCUGCCCUUGACUUUGGGAUAACUUCAGGAAACUGGGGCUAAUACCGGAUAGGAGCUCCUGCUGCAUGGUGGGGGUUGGAAAGUUUCGGCGGUUGGGGAUGGACUCGCGGCUUAUCAGCUUGUUGGUGGGGUAGUGGCUUACCAAGGCUUUGACGGGUAGCCGGCCUGAGAGGGUGACCGGCCACAUUGGGACUGAGAUACGGCCCAGACUCCUACGGGAGGCAGCAGUGGGGAAUAUUGCACAAUGGGCGGAAGCCUGAUGCAGCAACGCCGCGUGCGGGAUAACGGCCUUCGGGUUGUAAACCGCUUUCGCCUGUGACGAAGCGUGAGUGACGGUAAUGGGUAAAAAAGCACCGGCUAACUACGUG